GACGAACGCUGGCGGCGUGCCUAAUACAUGCAAGUAGGACGCAGUUGCGAACGGGUGAGUAACGCGUAGGUAACUGCCUCUUAGAGGGGGAUAACUAUUGGAAACGAUAGCUAAUACCGCAUACUAGUAAAUGGCCCUGCGUGGUAUUAGCUAGUAGGUAGGGUAAUGGCCUACCUAGGCAACGAUACAUAGCCGACCGGAGAGGGGGAUCGGACCCAGUGGGACUGAGACACGGCCCAGACUCAUACGGGAGGCAGCAGUAGGGAAGCUUCGGCAAUGGGGGGAACCCUGACAGAGCAACGCCGCGUGAGUGAAGAAGGUUUUCGGAUCGUAAAGCUCUGUUGUUAAGGAAGCGGUAUUUAACCAGAAAGGGACGGCUAACUACGUGCCAGCAGCCGCGGUAAUUC
rnacentral:rRNA from 1 species